rnacentral:rRNA from 1 species
AUUGAACGCUGGCGGCAUGGCUAAAACAUGCAAGUCGAACGGACCCGCAAGGGUUAGUGGCGGAAGGGUGAGGAAUAGUAUCGAACGUACCCUGAGGUGGGAGAUAGGCAUGGGAAACUGUGCGUAAUACCCCAUGAUCUCGGAAGAGCAAAGGCGCAAGUCGCCUUGGGAGCGGCGAUAUUCCUAUCAGGUAGUUGGCGGGGUAAUGGCCCACCAAGCCGAAGACGGGUAGCAGGUGUGAGAGCACGGCCUGCCACAUCGAGACUGAGACACUGCUCGGACUCCUACGGGAGGCUGCAGUAACGAAUAUUCCGCAAUGCACGAAAGUGUGACGGAGCAAUGCCGCGUGCAGGAUGAAGCAGCUUCGCUGUGUAAACUGCUGUCAGGAGUUACUAACACUGAAGAACUCCAGAGGAAGGACCGGCUAAUCUCGUGCCAGCAGCCGCGGUAAU